rnacentral:rRNA from 1 species
AUGCGUACCAAACACCUGAAAAAAGUUCCAACCAAGGAGAAGAGGGAUCAGGCAGCAAGAUUUAUAGCAGUAGUAGCUCAAGAGAGAUGCAUCCACAUCAAUUUGAGAGAAGGAUUAUCAAGCCACCUCCUUCCUUUGCACAAUGCACUUUUUCCCAGCCCAAGGGUAAUUGAAUAUGGUAAAUACUUUGUCACAGUCAGGGAGCUUGCAAACUCAAUGAAGAAGGAAGGUUUUGUCUUGAGCCAUGUAAUGGAAGUUGGUAUAGAGUCUAUAAUGAUGAACUUGCCACCAGACUCAAAGAAGCUUGUGAUGCCCCUCAGGUUCUCGGUUCAGAUGCAAAACAUGGAAUUGAACGACAAGGAGCUCAUUUCUCGGUUCAAGAAGUCGAAUCGCUUGGACCGUAAAGACAUGAUUAUGUUCCCAGUUUUAGAGAACAUUGACAAGACAAAGCCAGUUAUAGGCAAUCAUUACUGGAUUUUUAACGUGAACAUAAGGGACCGGCGUUUUGAGGCUCUUGAUUCUUGGAGGACGCUCCAGAACAAGUCUCUAGAUGUUUGCGCAAGGAAAAUGGUUGCAAGUUUUCGGGCUCUAUGGGAAGAGCAUUACGCCAGCUUCGGCGUCUCGCUGGAUGACUUUGGGCUUACCAACAUCGACGUUCCAAAACAAAAAACUGAGUAA